rnacentral:rRNA from 1 species
AUUGAACGCUGGCGGCAUGCUUUACACAUGCAAGUCGAACGGUAACAGGGAGCUUGCUCCGCUGACGAGUGGCGAACGGGUGAGUAAUGCAUCGGAACGUACCCAGUCGUGGGGGAUAACGUAGCGAAAGUUACGCUAAUACCGCAUACGUCCUGAGGGAGAAAGCGGGGGACCGUAAGGCCUCGCGCGAUUGGAGCGGCCGAUGUCGGAUUAGCUAGUUGGUAGGGUAAAGGCCUACCAAGGCGACGAUCCGUAGCGGGUCUGAGAGGAUGAUCCGCCACACUGGGACUGAGACACGGCCCAGACUCCUACGGGAGGCAGCAGUGGGGAAUUUUGGACAAUGGGCGAAAGCCUGAUCCAGCCAUGCCGCGUGAGUG